AACGAACGCUGGCGGCGCGCCUAACACAUGCAAGUCGAACGAGAUGCUUGUUUUCGGAUGAGUUAUCUAGUGGCGAACGGGUGAGUAACGCGUGGGAACCUGCCUUUAGCUUCGGGACAACCACUGGAAACGGUGGCUAAUACCGGAUAAUGCGCUUUCGCAAGAGAGUGCCAAAGAUUUAUCGGCUAUUGAGGGGCCCGCGUUAGAUUAGCUUGUUGGUAAGGUAACGGCUUACCAAGGCUUUGAUCUAUAGCUGGUCUGAGAGGACGAUCAGCCACACUGGGACUGAGACACGGCCCAGACUCCUACGGGAGGCAGCAGUGGGGAAUCUUGGACAAUGGGGGCAACCCUGAUCCAGCGACGCCGCGUGGGUGAAGAAGGCCUUAGGGUUGUAAACCCCUUUCACCGGGGAGGAUGAUGACGUUACCCGGAGAAGAAGCACCGGCUAACUCCG
rnacentral:rRNA from 1 species